UGCUUGAAUGUUCGCGGCUUGGGCCAGCGCA
rnacentral:sRNA from 1 species